rnacentral:rRNA from 1 species
GACGAAGGGGGCUAGCGUUGUUCGGAAUUACUGGGCGUAAAGCGCGUGUAGGCGGUUGCCCAAGUCGGGUGUGAAAGCCUUGAGCUCAACUCAAGAAAUGCACUCGGUACUGGGUGACUAGAGGACCGGAGAGGAUAGUGGAAUUCCCAGUGUAGUGGUGAAAUACGUAGAGAUUGGGAAGAACACCAGUGGCGAAGGCGGCUAUCUGGACGGUUUCUGACGCUAAGACGCGAAAGCGUGGGGAGCAAACAGGAUUAAGA